rnacentral:rRNA from 1 species
CGGUGGCGUUGCGUACUGCACUUGUUGUUCGUAUACGCUGAGGCGGUCGGCUGCCCCCUCCGAACCUUGUUGCGUGGCCCAACGCGUUUGGUCCUGCUUCAGGGGUAGGUUGAUGUGGCGGCUUGGCUGUCAGUCGCGUUCCGUGCCUCUGCGCGUUGCGGUGUUGACGGCGUCGUGUGUGGUGCCGGAGGCUUGCCUCCCGGUGCUGCUAGCGGUGUCGGCUUCGUCGUGUGCGCUAUAGGAACGUUCUCGGUGUCGAAAAGUUGACGACCUAUCCGACCCGUCUUGAAACACGGACCAAGAAGUCUAGUAUGUGCGCGAGUCAUUGAGUGGUAAAACUCAUAUGGCGUAAUGAAAGUAAAGGUCGCUUUACGCGGCUGAUAUGUGAUCCGUGAGCUUGUUCGCGGCGCAACAUAGCCCCAUGCUAAUUGCUUGCAAUGGUGUGGCGGUAGAGCGUACAUACUGGGACCCGAAAGAUGGUGAACUAUGCUUGAGCAGGACGAAGUCAGAGGAAACUCUGAUGGAGGUCCGUAGCGGUUCUGACGUGCAAAUCGAUCGUCGGACUUGAGUAUAGGGGCGAAAGACUAAUCGAACCAUC